rnacentral:rRNA from 1 species
AGUGAACGCUGGCGGCAGGCCUAACACAUGCAAGUCGAGCGGCAGCGCGGGGGCAACCCUGGCGGCGAGCGGCGGACGGGUGAGGAAUUCGUCGGAAUCUGCCUUUUUGUGGGGGAUAACGUAGGGAAACUUACGCUAAUACCGCAUACGUCCUACGGGAGAAAGUGGGGGACCGCAAGGCCUCACGCAGAAAGAUGAGCCGACGACCGAUUAGCUAGUUGGUGGGGUAAAGGCCCACCAAGGCGACGAUCGGUAGCUGGUCCGAGAGGAUGAUCAGCCACACUGGGACUGAGACACGGCCCAGACUCCUACGGGAGGCAGCAGUGGGGAAUAUUGGACAAUGGGCGCAAGCCUGAUCCAGCCAUGCCGCGUGUGUGAAGAAGGCCUUCGGGUUGUAAAGCACUUUUGUCCGGAAAGAAAUCCCUGGAGCUAAUACCUUCGGGGGAUGACGGUACCGGAAGAAUAAGCACCGGCUAACUUCGUG